UUGACCUCGGAUCAGGUAGGAAUACCCGCUGAACUUAAGCAUAUCAAUAAGCAGAGGAA
rnacentral:rRNA from 3 species